GGACGACUAUAUACAUUUAAGAUUGCAGCGUACAACACCUACGGAAAUACAACAUCACUUGAUACUGUUGGAUGUACAAUUCAGGCAGAAUGUUCCCGCGGUACCGACAGCAUGUAUGUAACAGCAGUUGCCCUGAUUUGUACCAGUGUUCUCACGUUCCUGUUAACAGUUGGACUUGGACUAUUCCUAAGUCGAAACGGUAGACUGCCUUUCAUCAAAGGUCAACAUCUGAAACGAAGGGAAUUUCAGAACGUACAACUUUCAGAACGAGGUA